rnacentral:lncRNA from 1 species
AGGUACGUGCAUCGCGUGUUCUCAUUUUUGUCUGUAAAUAGGGUUGGCGAAAUGCGCAUCUGCAGUGAGAGAUCAAGGUAAGAAUACAAGUAUCAUCUUUAUUUGUAUUUCUUGAUAAAAGAAAUGGAAUGCUUUAACUGACCUUAUUUGAUUCUGCCAAUGGUAUUGUUUGAUGAUGCUUAAGUCAUCAAGUUUAAGCCGUUCUUUUAGGUGAGAAUACUUUGUAAUAGUGUAUUCAUUAUAACUAGGCCAACAACAACAACAAAAACGUACACAGUGAAGGUAGAGAGGUUCCGAAAGACCCACGGCUCAAGUGCAGCUUCAUGAUAACUUGGCUGAAUUGCCUAAUUGACACCUCUACUUGUCUCGGUUUGAUAUCCCGCCCCCAUAUUCUACGGGUGUUCAAGUGGACACCUCUAACUAGCUAGUCUGAUCUGUUAAUAGUGACAUCAACAAUGACAUCAUUUGGUAAGUGAAAUCUGUGAGAAGCAAUGUGAUACCUAUACUGGUGGGAGAUAGCAUGUACCCGAUGAAAUUGUCGAGGUGCAUGGAAUCUGGUCUGGACAUUGCUGUCAUUCAAGAGGAUAUAGUCAAGGUGCACGGAAAUUGGUUCGGACAUCAUUGUCAUCCUCUACAAUUGAGGAUUUUCCUUGAUUAUACUGUAUGAUAUUCAUUCAUUCAUUCAAAGAAGUUAAGAG